rnacentral:rRNA from 1 species
UACGAAGGGGGCUAGCGUUGUUCGGAAUUACUGGGCGUAAAGCGCGCGUAGGCGGGUUGUUAAGUCAGGGGUGAAAUCCCGGAGCUCAACUUCGGAACUGCCCUUGAUACUGCACGUCUCGAGUCCGAGAGAGGUGAGUGGAAUUCCUAGUGUAGAGGUGAAAUUCGUAGAUAUUAGGAAGAACACCAGUGGCGAAGGCAGCUCACUGGCUCGGUACUGACGCUGAGGUGCGAAAGCGUGGGGAGCAAACAGG